rnacentral:lncRNA from 1 species
AGAAUGUAUAGAUACCAUUUUGUGUAUAUUUUGAUUUGUGUAUGUUACCAAUUUACACAGAAAGCUUCAAAUGGGCAAGCUGAUGGUUAGUAUUUGAGUACUUAUGAAUGUCAUAGAGAUUGCAUUUAACCAUUUUGAUGUACAGUUGUUGACUAUAAUAUUUAUUUCACAGACAAAGUCUGAUGGUGCUUGUUUUAUUUUAUGGUCAUUAUUAGAAGUGAAGUUCAAGCAUACAUGACAUUGGACUAUUCUGGCUCAGAAGAACCUGGGGCACUUGUCACCAAUCCCAGAAGGAGCAAUUACUAGAGGUUGCGAAGGAUGAAGUUGAGGGUGAUGAGGAUGAUGAUAGUUCAAGUGCGAAAUAGUGGUUGACAUUAUAUAGAGAAUGGAGCAAAAGCAGAUUGUAUACUGGUCAGAAUGAAGAUGACUUGAGAUGAAAAGACUAGACAACAACUAAUAGAUGUUGAAGAAAAGUCCAACUGCAAACUGUCAAGACAUACAGUAAGGAUGUGGAUCUGUGGUAAAUAAAGGUAAUGUCUCUGUGCGUUCACAGAGAGAAAUCAUUCAUUCAAAGUGAUACUGUAGAAAGAGAAAAAUGUUGAAUAACUUAAAAAAUCAGUUUCUUGGUUAAAA